GGGGUUGUGGCUCAGAGGUAAAGCACGUGCCUAGCAUGCAUCAGGCACUAGGUUCGAUUCCUGGCAACACGU
rnacentral:tRNA from 1 species